rnacentral:snoRNA from 1 species
CUACAUGUGGAAUUAUCUCCUCCCCAUUCCUUUAGGAGCAGGAGCAGGAAUGUGUCUGUAACAUGCUACAUUAACAGAGUUCUAGGACUGCUAUUUUAGUAGAGGUUGAGCAGUAGUAUAUUUCUCCUACAAAA